AUACGUAGGUGACAAGCGUUAUCCAGAUUUACUGGGCGUAAAGGGCGUGUAGGCGGUCUUGCAAGUCAGAAGUGAAAUUCCUGAGCUCAACUCGGGCGCUGCUUCUGAAACUGCAGGACUUGAGUGCUGGAGGGGAUAGCGGAAUUCCUAGUGGAGCGGUAAAAUGCGCAGAUAUUAGGAAGAACACCGGUGGCGAAGGCGGAUUUCAGGACAGUAACUGACGCUGAGGCGCAAAAGCGUGGGGAGCAAACAGGAUGAGAUGCCCGGGUAGUCCACGCCGUAAACGAUGAAUACUAGGUGUAGGGGGUAUCGACUCCCUCUGUGCCGCAGUUAACACAAUAAGUAUUCCGCCUGGGGAGUACGGCCGCAAGGUUGAAACUCAAAGGAAUUGACGGGG
rnacentral:rRNA from 1 species